rnacentral:rRNA from 1 species
UACGUAGGGUCCGAGCGUUGUCCGGAAUUAUUGGGCGUGAAGGGCUCGUAGGCGGUUUGUCGCGUCGGGAGUGAAAACACGGGGCUUAACCCCGUGCCUGCUUCCGAUACGGGCAGACUAGAGGUAUGCAGGGGAGAACGGAAUUCCUGGUGUAGCGGUGAAAUGCGCAGAUAUCAGGAGGAACACCGGUGGCGAAGGCGGUUCUCUGGGCAUUACCUGACGCUGAGGAGCGAAAGUGUGGGGAGCGAACAGG